GCCGAAGUGGUGGAAUUGGCAGACACGCAGGAUUUAGGUUCCUGUGCCCAUUUGGGUGUGAGGGUUCAAGCCCCUCCUUCGGCA
rnacentral:tRNA from 1 species